GUUCUGUAGUCUGUCUCUGUUCUGGACACAGAUGUUGAAGAGGAGGUGGCAGUGACAGUACCUAGGUUUGGAUGGUCAGCCAGAUUUCUGUUUGCUGUGUUACACUGCACCCAUGUGACUGAUGUGAGGUGGACUUGCUGCUUUUCACAAAGAGGAGAGAACGCACAAUAUGCUGUUACAGACUGCACGUGAGACCAGUAAGCAGCGCGACAUGCAGAAAGCCUGCAGUCCAGCCACUUUUUAAGUGACGUUCCACACAGCAACUAGUGAUAAUGUGCAGUGAGGAUAUAAAAACUGGAAAGUAUCCAAACCCAGGAUUUAAAAACAUGUAUGAACAAAAUAUACAUUGCUGCUACUGAUGGAUCUUGUGUGCACGCUCAGUAGGUGAACGAGGAAAUCACUAAAAUGUGCCCAAGGGGUAUGAAGUGGAAGGUAACCAGUAAGAUGACGUGGGAUAUAGUGUCUAAGGAUGAAUCCUGGGCUCUGUAGACCUGGACUCCUGAAGAACAGAAUCCUCCAGUGCAGGUUUCGGUCACAAGCAGAGCACUGAGCUGCUGCCCGGGGCGCUGAGCGACACACAGUGCAGUACGGCUGCUGGGCCGCCUGACUGAGGGAACUGCCUGACAAGUUUGGCCACCAACAGCACUCGGUGAGAGUCAGCAAUGCCUACUUGGUAGGAAAGGGAGAUUUGGAGCACUCCAUAACAGCACUUAGUGAGUAAACUGCAAGUCCUGGAAGAGCAAGGAGUGGGCAAAAGUCCCAAAAUACUCAGUGUGUCCAGUAUCAGAGCCAGACCCCAGCAGAAAGAAUCAGCCGGCAUUUUGAAAACACAUUCCCCACACACCAAUGGUAACAGUAAACUCAGUAUCCUAAUUUUGACUUUCUAAAUUUCUUUGCUACAUGUAAUCAACGAGAAAUGAAUAAUGGAAAGGUCCAGUUGCACCAAACAACCCGUUGUCACUUGUUUCAUGAGACAGAUGUAUGUCUGCAGCAACACAAAUGAGACAACUAGAUGUCCUUCAAAGUCACACAUACGCAACUUCUUCCAACAUCAUAUUGGUAGUAGGAGGGUCUCUUAACAAAACCAAUUCACAAAAUCUUAAGACAAAGCAAAAUUCAAAGUCAUGAGCAAAAUUUAAAGAAAUACAAUGCAAUAAUUUAAGAAAGAAGUUGGUGGCCAUCUUUCUACCAUGUUAGCUGGGCCUUUACCAAGAUGUACUUAGAAUUGUCUCUGGGGACAGAAUUUCUCUCCUGUAACACCGACUAUGAAGGAAGCUUGUCUUAGAAAGGUGAGAUACACCAGAUUCACCCAACCAUCAGUGCUCAAGGAAUGCCUAUCUCCACCGAGAAUAAACUUGGUCUGCAUGGCUCAGUCUGAACUUUAAGUGGUUAAUGUUACAUGGACGUUACUCACAUCAUAAACAACCAACAUGAUCUAUAUUAUAGGGAGCUAAACUUUAAAUGCUGAGUGCUCGGUACUGUCAGAAAAGCCAAAUUUUUGACAAUUAAAAAAAUCAGUUAUCACUGUUUUUGAAUGAGUGAAUAUUACUUUAAAUUUACAGACACAAUAGCUAUAGCAUAAUAUUUGGUAUAUCAUUUGAAGGGUAUGUAAUUUUAUCCUUAAAUAUUUUCAAG